ACGUAGGGGGCAAGCGUUGUCCGGAAUCACUGGGCGUAAAGCGCGCGCAGGCGGCUGUCUACGUCCGGGGUGAAAGCCCAGAGCUCGACUCUGGGAUUGCCUUGGAUACGGGAUAGCUUGAGGAUCGGAGAGGCAAGGGGAAUUCCACGUGUAGCGGUGAAAUGCGUAGAGAUGUGGAGGAACACCUGUGGCGAAGGCGCCUUGCUGGCCGAUUUCUGACGCUGAGGCGCGAAAGCCAGGGGAGCGAACGGGA
rnacentral:rRNA from 1 species